rnacentral:rRNA from 1 species
UUAUCUGGAGGAUAGCCUUUCGAAAGGAAGAUUAAUACUCCAUAAUACUAUUGAUUGGCAUCAAUUAAUAUUGAAAAGCUCCGGCGGAUAGAGAUGGGCACGCGCAAGAUUAGUUAGUUGGUGAGGUAACGGGCUCACCAAGACGAUGAUCUUUAGGGGGGCCUGAGAGGGUGAUCCCCACACUGGUACUGAGACACGGACCAGACUCCUACGGGAGGCAGCAGUGAGGAAUAUUGGACAAUGGGUGCAAGCCUGAUCCAGCCAUCCCGCGUGAAGGACGACUGCCUAUGGGUUGUAAACUUCUUUUGUAUAGGGAUAAACCUCUCCUCGUGAGGAGAGCUGAAGGUACUAUACGAAUAAGCACCGGCUAACUCCGUG